GCAAGGAGACAAGGUUCGGUACAACCAAAACAAGAACAAGCGUUAAACUCAUCAUCGAAGCAAGAAAGAAGUCACUUUCUCUCUAUCGCUUGACUUUCGCCGAUCAAAUUAAAGAGAUGUGCUUCAAUCUGGGACACGGGACGAAGCUGAGGAAGCACUUGAGCAAGAAGAGAUCGUCGUCAGGAACGAGCAGCGAUCAUCACGGGGAGGACGAGAGCAAGGGACUUUUGCUCAAGGAGAUCGAGAGAUGGAACAUUCAGAAGCAGCAACAAGAGAUGAUGAUAUCCGAUCAAGAUCAAGAUCAAGAACACAAGCUCGCAAUUUCGACUUCAGCCAAACUUAUUCACAGAGAUUAGUAAUUUUCCGCUUCAGUAUUCAUUCUCACUCUAAUGUUUCGUCAUGUCACGAGCUUUUUUAUCAUCUUGAUGAGGGCCUUGACUUCUACAAAUGAAAAAGAAAAAAUGAUCAAGAAAAUGAGAAGUAUAAUUCUCCCGUUCAUUCCUAAGGAGACCGAAUAAAAACUAAUUUAAUUUGAAGGCAG
rnacentral:lncRNA from 1 species